rnacentral:rRNA from 1 species
GAUGAACGCUGGCGGCGUGCCUAAUACAUGCAAGUCGAGCGAACAGACGAGAAGCUUGCUUUUCUGAUGUUAGCGGCGGACGGGUGAGUAACACGUGGAUAACCUACCUAUAAGACUGGGAUAACUUCGGGAAACCGGAGCUAAUACCGGAUAAUAUUUUGAACCGCAUGGUUCAAAAGUGAAAGACGGUCUUGCUGUCACUUAUAGAUGGAUCCGCGCUGCAUUAGCUAGUUGGUAAGGUAACGGCUUACCAAGGCAACGAUGCAUAGCCGACCUGAGAGGGUGAUCGGCCACACUGGAACUGAGACACGGUCCAGACUCCUACGGGAGGCAGCAGUAGGGAAUCUUCCGCAAUGGGCGAAAGCCUGACGGAGCAACGCCGCGUGAGUGAUGAAGGUCUUCGGAUCGUAAAACUCUGUUAUUAGGGAAGAACAUAUGUGUAAGUAACUGUGCACAUCUUGACGGUACCUAAUCAGAAAGCCACGGCUAACUACGUG